rnacentral:rRNA from 1 species
UACCAGCACCCCGAGUGGUCGGGACGAUUAUUGGGCCUAAAGCAUCCGUAGCCGGCCUUACAAGUCCUCCGUUAAAUCCAACUGCUUAACAGAUGGGCUGCGGAGGAUACUAUAAGACUAGGAGGCAGGAGAGGCAAGCGGUACUCAGUGGGUAGGGGUAAAAUCCAUUGAUCCAUUGAAGACCACCAGUGGCGAAGGCGGCUUGCCAGAAUGCGCUCGACGGUGAGGGAUGAAAGCUGGGGGAGCAAACCGG